UUUCCGUAGGUGAACCUGCGGAAGGAUCAGUAAUGAGUUGUCAUGGGGUUCGAUGCUGGCAGCCAGUUUUUGGAUGCAUGUGCUUGCCCUAACAAUCAUCUUCUUCCAAACGCCUGUGCACAUUUUUGAGGGAGUCUUGAGUUGGUUGCCGCUCUUGGGUGAUUUUCUCACAUUCCCUUAAAUCAUUAUACGCUAUUAACAAUGUUGAACGUGCUCUGUGCCGCAAGGCUAUUAAUAUAAUACAACUUUUAACAACGGAUCUCUUGGCUCUC
rnacentral:misc_RNA from 1 species